rnacentral:rRNA from 1 species
UACGGGGGGGGGUAAGCGUUGUUCGGAAUUACUGGGCGGUAAAGGGCUCGUAGGCGGCCAACUAAGUCAGACGUGAAAUCCCUCAGCUUAACUGGGGAACUGCGUCUGAUACUGGAUGGCUUGGAUUUGGGAGAGGGAUGCGGAAUUCCAGGUGUAGCGGUGAAAUGCGUAGAUAUCUGGAGGAACACCGGUGGCGAAGGCGGCAUCCUGGACCAAUACUGACGCUGAGGAGCGAAAAGCGUGGGGGAGCGAACAGG